CAUACAUAAAAGCGAAUUACUCGUAUAUGCUCGGUAAUAUGGUCUGAGUGUUUCUACCCGGUUCCCAAUGAAAGAACUGGACUACGAGUUGAAGUAAAUGGCUG
rfam:Fictibacillus phosphorivorans strain G25-29, complete genome.